AUCUUUUUUUUUUUUUUUUUUUUUUUUUAUUUUGAGCGCUUCGUAUACGUGAAGCUCUCGCUUCGCGCUUGAAGCUUCGCUUAAAGCUUUUGGAACCAAAACGCUUUGGAGCGCCUCACGCUUUUUUUAAACCAAAGAUGCGAUGUGAUGAUUCUUAUUUUCCAUUUGUUGUUGACAAUUUACGCUCAAUAUAUUUGUUAUCAGUAUAGCCAAGUUUGUAUCUGCCUUAUAUAUUGGUGGCAAAUGGGCAGCUUGGGUAACUAUCAACACUAGUAAUUUUUGUACAUGUUGAAACAGGUCAGCUAGGGGGGUUGGGUUGCUUGGAAACAAUGCCCGCACCACAAAUAUAUUAAACUUUUGGAGUAUUAAGUAUGAGACGCCUAUUUUCUGCAUGGAAAGCUACGAGAACCAAUUGUUUAUCUGUGGAAAAUUUACAAAGCAAGACCUUAUGCCAGGAGUUAACAAAGAUAAUCAGUUUGGCAGACACAUGGGUGAGGCUUUCCCAUGUACUUGUUCGGUCAUUACAGCAACUUUAAUGGUGGUGUGUUGCGUAACGGUUUGAAACACGUAAUGUUUUGGUGUGGGCCAAAGCAUUAUACGGCCAUCACUGAGUCCUCGCAUCGGACUUCAAGACCACCUCGAUCUUCUUUCCAUUGAUCCUUUCUGCUCAUCAUUGGUAAUUCUAGCUGUUCUCCUUAAUAAUGUGUGUCACUGAUUUUUGUUUUAAUGAAGAUGUGAUGUGAGAUUAUAUACAUAUACAUUUAACAGAUAUGUUGUUUGAUCACAAUAUUGACACAAAUUUCUGCACAUCUAAUCUGUGUAAACAGACUGUUUUUUUUGUUCACCAAAAAGUAUUACUGUAUUAAUCGGAUUACAUUAUAAUUUAAGUUAUACUAUGUAUUUUAAAUAAAAUGUUGGUAGGGGGACUUUUGGCCGUUUCCUUCCCUCUUAAUGGGCAUGGCCCUCAAAGUAGUUGAUAGCGCCUAAUCUAAUAGAGGUGGCCAAAUGGGCCGGUUGAGUGGGUUGCGUAACAUAAAUGGAUUUAUUUUUCUAUGGACCAAAACAUGUCAGGUUGGUUACUAUGAAUCAUAGUUGUUAAUAGCGAAUAGUGACAAGGGACCUAUAU